CGGCGAGGAUCGCGGCGUGCAACAGCCUCUCGCCGUGCCCGGCCGUCCCGGCGGCCCUGGCAAUCUCGUCGUCGCACAUUACCUUGGCGGCCUCCCAGAAGGGCCCGUUGGCCCGGUCGAUAACGGCGUGCUGAUCGAUCUCCUUGCCGAGUUGCCUGAGGUCCUCCAAGGACGCGCCGCGACGGCGCGGGGCCGCGUCCCGUCGAGCGACUUGACGAGCACGUCGAUGGGCUUGGGGCGCCCGUAGCCGAACCGCGUCUCGGCCCGGAGCCUGCUCUGCUCGAGGAGGAAGGCGGCCUCCUUCGCCUCCUCCUCCGCCCUGGCCAGCGACGCGGUCCUGACC
rnacentral:lncRNA from 1 species